rnacentral:rRNA from 1 species
AGUGAACGCUGGCGGUAGGCCUAACACAUGCAAGUCGAACGGCAGCACAGUAAGAGCUUGCUCUUACGGGUGGCGAGUGGCGGACGGGUGAGGAAUACAUCGGAAUCUACUUUUUCGUGGGGGAUAACGUAGGGAAACUUACGCUAAUACCGCAUACGACCUACGGGUGAAAGCAGGGGAUCUUCGGACCUUGCGCGAUUGAAUGAGCCGAUGUCGGAUUAGCUAGUUGGCGGGGUAAAGGCCCACCAAGGCGACGAUCCGUAGCUGGUCUGAGAGGAUGAUCAGCCACACUGGAACUGAGACACGGUCCAGACUCCUACGGGAGGCAGCAGUGGGGAAUAUUGGACAAUGGGCGCAAGCCUGAUCCAGCCAUACCACGUGGGUGAAGAAGGCCUUCGGGUUGUAAAGCCCUUUUGUUGGGAAAGAAAAGCAGCAGGUUAAUACCCUGCUGUUCUGACGGUACCCAAAGAAUAAGCACCGGCUAACUUCGUG